UACGUAGGGUGCAGGCGUUAAUCGGAAUUACUGGGCGUAAAGCGUGCGCAGGCGGUCUCUUAAGACAGGUGUGAAAUCCCCGGGCUUAACCUGGGAACUGCGCUUGUAACUGAGAGGCUAGAGUGUGGCAGAGGGGGGUGGAAUUCCACGUGUAGCAGUGAAAUGCGUAGAGAUGGGGGAGAACACUCGUGGCGAAGGCGGCCAGCUAGACCAGUUCUGACACUGAGGCGCGAUAGCGUGGGGAGCAAACAGG
rnacentral:rRNA from 1 species